rnacentral:rRNA from 1 species
CGGCGGACGGGUGAGUAAUGCCUAGGAAUCUGCCUGGUAGGUGGGGACAACGUUUCGAAAGGAACGCUAAUACCGCAUACGUCCUACGGGAGAAAGCAGGGGACCUUCGGGCCUUGCGCUAUCAGAUGAGCCUAGGUCGGAUUAGCUAGUUGGUGAGGUAAUGGCUCACCAAGGCGACGAUCCGUAACUGGUCUGAGAGGAUGAUCAGUCACACUGGAACUGAGACACGGUCCAGACUCCUACGGGAGGCAGCAGUU